rnacentral:tRNA from 1 species
GUAAUAGCUUUCAGCAUAUUGUUGAAGACAAUAAGAUG